AUUGAACGCUGGCGGCAGGCCUAACACAUGCAAGUCGAGCGGAUGAUGGGGGCUUGCUCCUGGAUUCAGCGGCGGACGGGUGAGUAAUGCCUAGGAAUCUGCCUGGUAGUGGGGGAUAACGUCCGGAAACGGGCGCUAAUACCGCAUACGUCCUGAGGGAGAAAGUGGGGGAUCUUCGGACCUCACGCUAUCAGAUGAGCCUAGGUCGGAUUAGCUAGUUGGUGGGGUAAAGGCCUACCAAGGCGACGAUCCGUAACUGGUCUGAGAGGAUGAUCAGUCACACUGGAACUGAGACACGGUCCAGACUCCUACGGGAGGCAGCAGUGGGGAAUAUUGGACAAUGGGCGAAAGCCUGAUCCAGCCAUGCCGCGUGUGUGAAGAAGGUCUUCGGAUUGUAAAGCACUUUAAGUUGGGAGGAAGGGCAGUAAGUUAAUACCUUGCUGUUUUGACGUUACCAACAGAAUAAGCACCGGCUAACUUCGUG
rnacentral:rRNA from 1 species